rnacentral:rRNA from 1 species
AGCGAACGCUGGCGGCAGGCCUAACACAUGCAAGUCGAACGAACUCUUCGGAGUUAGUGGCGGACGGGUGAGUAACACGUGGGAACGUGCCUUUUGGUUCGGAAUAACUCAGGGAAACUUGUGCUAAUACCGAAUGUGCCCUUCGGGGGAAAGAUUUAUCGCCAUUAGAGCGGCCCGCGUCUGAUUAGCUAGUUGGUGGGGUAGCAGCUCACCAAGGCGACGAUCAGUAGCUGGUCUGAGAGGAUGACCAGCCACACUGGGACUGAGACACGGCCCAGACUCCUACGGGAGGCAGCAGUGGGGAAUCUUGCGCAAUGGGCGAAAGCCUGACGCAGCCAUGCCGCGUGAAUGAUGAAGGUCCUAGGAUUGUAAAAUUCUUUAACCGGGGACGAUAAUGACGGUACCCGGAGAAGAAGCCCCGGCUAACUUCGUG